UACGUAGGGUCCGAGCGUUGUCCGGAAUCACUGGGCGUAAAGCGCACGCAGGCGGAUCGUUAAGUCAGGGGUGAAAUCCCGAGGCUCAACCUCGGAACUGCCUUUGAUACUGGCGAUCUUUGAGUCCGGGAGAGGUGAGUGGAACUCCGAGUGUAGAGGUGAAAUUCGUAGAUAUUCGGAAGAACACCAGUGGCGAAGGCGGCUCACUGGCCCGGUACUGACGCUCAUGUGCGAAAGCGUGGGGAGCAAACAGG
rnacentral:rRNA from 1 species